rnacentral:rRNA from 1 species
GAUGAACGCUGGCGGCGUGCCUAAUACAUGCAAGUCGAGCGAACAGACGAGGAGCUUGCUCCUCUGACGUUAGCGGCGGACGGGUGAGUAACACGUGGAUAACCUACCUAUAAGACUGGGAUAACUUCGGGAAACCGGAGCUAAUACCGGAUAAUAUAUUGAACCGCAUGGUUCAAUAGUGAAAGACGGUUUUGCUGUCACUUAUAGAUGGAUCCGCGCCGCAUUAGCUAGUUGUUAAGGUAACGGCUUACCAAGGCAACGAUGCGUAGCCGACCUGAGAGGGUGAUCGGCCACACUGGAACUGAGACACGGUCCAGACUCCUACGGGAGGCAGCAGUAGGGAAUCUUCCGCAAAGGGCGAAAGCCUGACGGAGCAACGCCGCGUGAGUGAUGAAGGUCUUCGGAUCGUAAAACUCUGUUAUUAGGGAAGAACAAAUGUGUAAGUAACUAUGCACGUCUUGACGGUACCUAAUCAGAAAGCCACGGCUAACUACGUG